CACAGGUACCACUCAAACAAGAGGGCGGAGAUGGCAGAUAAUCCCCACUGCCGUUUUGAACUCUUCGCAGCUCGCAAAGGAAAUACCUGCAUGAGAUCUGCAGAGGCAUGUUGGAUCAGUUCUUCCUACCCAGUGCAGAAUGAUGCUGUUCAAAUGCCAACAUGACUCAGCUGGUAUUGCUCACAUGUCUCUGUUGCUGAGAGGGUUUGUGUCCUUUCCCACCUUACAGGUAACACUCAAUGCCAGCACUGCCAGGCUGAUGCCAAUAACAAAUGAUUGCAUCUCUAAUGUUUCCAUCCUCUUCUGACAGCUUCUGUGAAAAAAGUAUCUUCAAGUGCAUGUGGAGUCUCCUCCUGCCCAACUGGAAGAGCCCUGGGUACACUUCAGAUGAUUUCACAAGGAAGUUCUCCCCAGGGAUGGGGACCUCUCAUCUUCCCUGGAAACGCUGCUCCAGUACUCAGGCCUUGUUAGAAGUGUCCGUGGGGACUGUGA